GAAUUCCAUCGAUCACUUUAAAAGUAAAGUUGUUGCUGACAUCAAGCGGUUGUUGGCAGCUAGCUGAUGGCCACAAUGAAGGAUACCCAACACCCCUGAAGCAAUAGAAAUACACCAGGUGUUUAAAUCUUUAGGUUUUCUGUAAACUAGGAUUUCAUUCUCUUUCGUGCAAUCACAAGCAAAAACAUCUGCAGUCAAGAGUUUGCUGACCUCAAUCUGGGCAUACAUCGGGUUCCCAGUUGCAGGCACCGACAGCUUGUACGAUUCAUCCACCCCGAAUUUGAGCUGCUUGCAGAAGAUCAAUGAGCAAAGCAAAAAAAAAAA